GGGCCUGCCCGCGCGGGGCUCCCUCGUGGGAGAAGGAGAGCACCACGAGGGCCUCUCAACCCGGGCAGCACGUAUCCGUUUCUCUUCACUACUUCGGUCUUUCGUGGAGUUUGCGCUCGGUGGAAAUAUAGCCACCAUUUUGGGUGUGCAGAUUUUGUGAGCAAUUAAGUGUGCACAUUUUGCAUCGGUUCCCUCUAAUGCAGGAACGUCGGUGUAAAGGUGUAAACGUCAGUGGCCUCAGUGUAUCAAGUCGCGCUUACAUUGUGACCAGUGAUCCCCUGGUUCCCGGGUCCUGGCGGUGCGCGGAGGGAGGACCAGAGAGAGAGAAGUGGGUGGGGGACAGUUUGCCUUCUUUUUCUUAAAACUGGAGCCCAUGUUAUACAUAGUACAAAAUCUAAGUCCAGCGGCAACGUGUUCGCAGCCCCGCCUAGGAGGACGUCUGAUUGAAUCUCGGAGGCGUCUGUGCCUCUAGGGACCCAAAUGCACACCGAAGCCGCAGGCUGGCCAGCAAUGCUCUCACUGCGGAGAAUCCGGGACGAUGAACGGUCCCCAAAGCUCUGACCCCAAGGCCAGCGGGGCCCGUCUGGGUCCUCCCCGGGCCUGCGAGGGCUGGAUGGGCCUGGGCGCCCCGCGGCCUCACUUCAGGGCGCGAGCAGGCAGCCGCCGGCAGGAAGCGCGGCAGGGCGUGCCUGUGGAGACGCCUGGCCCGCUGCAACUGGCCUUUUAAAAACCUACUAAGUGCAUUGAAGCAACGAGUGCGUCCUCGUGGAGUCGCGCUGGCUUUAGAUGACUGCGCUCCUCCUUGCUAACCUGUCGCUCCGGGUUUCUUCCGAGACAGCGCAAGUCUCAUCCUCCGCAGGUGCCUGCCUGCCUGCCUGCCGCGCCCCCUGAAGUCUCUCGACCUCACAGGGCCGGAGAACCCGCAGACUCCGGCCUGUGCAAAUCCUCCAUCUCCCUUAGCUCUGCGGGCCUCUCCAGCCCCAGCUCAGAGAUCUUGGCGCAGGCCCGCACCUUCUGGGGUGAGGGUCCACCUCCAGGCGUGGGCUUUGGAGAAGGGAGUGAGGUGCAGCAGCGUGGCCGCACAGAGAAGAGGUGCAGAGGGCACGUUUCUGGGAAGUGGACCGGCCGGAGUUCCUCUGAAGGUUUGGAAUCCCAGGAGACAGCGUUAGGAACGGGAGGCCCCGGCCCCAGUUCCCGUGCAGGCGGUGUUUCAAGACUACUGGUCCCUUGCCCUGUGCUGGAGCAGGUCAAGACCUCCACGGUGAACGCUGCACAGAGCUCCCCAAGCUGCUCUGAAUCCUUGGGGUUUUUGUUUCCUGAGAAUGUUUCUGCAAGACAGACCUUGGGAGAACUUAGCUCUGUGCUGCCAGCAGCUCUUGUGCAUUCCUGCUUCCGGACACCAGAGCGCACCUCAGCGCUGGCCAGCGGUGUGAGCAGAGCGCCCCUGCUGCGGCCACCUCCGGGUCACCGAGCCAGGAGCAGGGAAGAGGCCACUACGGCGUUGGGGACACUGGCUCCCAGCUGGCAUCGAAGGACUGUGCAGGCUGGAGAGCUGCUGCCGCAGCCUUCCCGUGUUCUGAGGCACAGAGCGUCCCUGGGGUGCUGGAAGGAGUCACCUCCGUCCAUGUGAACAAGUCCCGAACGUGGGAAGCGCAGGGAGGAGGGUGCAGAGACGGCGAUGCCCAGGUAGGCCAUGUUUUGGGUUUUCAGGUACAAGGGGGCUGGCCCCAUUUCAGGGCCCAAAAGCCUUCAAAGAGGGGAGCAGCUCAGGGCAGGCUCAGCUGCUUUGAAACUGUCUGAAGGACCUGUGCUCGAUGUCAGCCACUGUCGCCUCUGAAGGCCAGUCACAUGGGGCUGCAGCACUGUUCUUUCCUGUGAUUUUAGAGAUUAAAAGUGUGUACUGUCGGCCACGCGUGUGGUACCUGUGUGUAUUCCCAACACUCAGGAGGCUGAGGCAGGAGGAGUGACGGAGUGACGCUGCGAUCAAUGCCAGCCUGGAGUAUGUAGUAAGACCCUGUCUCAAAAAAAAUAAAAAUUAAGUGCUAGCUUUCAGAAGAAACAUUAUAAACAUAGAAGUGUAAUAUGCUAGUUUGGGAAAAUUUGAUUGAAAAUAUCGCUUCCCUAAAAUUUUUCAUUUAUGUCUCCCCUCCUGUCUCAUUUCCUCCACCAUUAGAAGCCCUGGCGGUCAGAAUCGGGGACACGAAUGCCAUGUGAGUGCGGCUGUCUAUGUCACUUACUGUGUCUCACACUUCCAGUGAAUGUAGGGAAGACUCUGAGAUUAGCGCCACGGCUGUGGAGAGACCGGAAGACGGGGAGAGGGCCCGGGGAGGGCCAGCAGAGCCUGGGAGAGGACGGCCGAGGCAGAGAGGAGCGCUGGUCAGAGGCAGAGGCGAGUUGGUCCGGCAGGCGCCACUGGACACCUGGCCCCGGCCCUUCCUCCCUCACCACCCCUGCCACUGGCAGACAGCAGUGAGAGGCCUUUCUGGGCUCCUGCACCCGAGCUGUUUUCCCUGAAGCCCAAAGAGGGGAUCUCUGCACCUAAGUCUGCUCACGGCCCCUGCACAGGGGAGGGGUCCCAGGCCAGGCCUCGCUGGGACUCACAGGCCUCCUGCCUUGCUCUUUGACCUGUUUGCAGGAGAUUGAGCGCAGAGGGCUGUCCCCUGCACCAGCAUGAGCGCAGGGCUUCUGUUUGCCCACAGGAGUGACGCCCUUCAGGGCCUGCUCACCCUGCAGCCUGCCCCCUGCUGCCCCUACUCCCUGAGCUGGGCACCUGACUUCCACUGCCCUGCACACAGCAGGCGCCCUCCCAGGUGGUGCCUCCUCCUCGCUUCCGACCUCAAGACCCUGUGCUGGUGCCGCUGGCUGCUGUGCAGCCGCUGCAGGGGACACUGGCUUCGAGGGGUGCUGGCUGUCCUUCUGCAUCCCCCCUAGCUCUGUGCAUGCCGGCACACCCGGGGCCCCAGGCAGACACUGAUUAGAUGCACGGGUGCGUGAGAGAUUGGCUCUCGGCAGCUCAGCUUUAUGUCCAAAGGCAACAGCAGGGCUAGUGGGCCCGAAAUAAUGACAUAAUAAUGACAUGGACAUCUGCCCUCUGAUCCCGCUGCCCUGCUGCUCCGGAACCUUCUCCACACCUGGGCAUUGUUGGGGUUCCUAUCUGGACAUUCUCUAGCUGACCCCACAGUCUCAUGGCAUCUUGGGGGGGGCUUUGGGAGGCAACUGGAUUAUGAGGCUGUUAGCUGGCCUGCUGUGGGGAGGGGUCUGGUUGGAGGACACGGGUCAGUGGGUGUGGCCUGGAGGGGUCAUCACCCUCCCCAGUCCACCCUUCCCUCCCUGCUUUGCCAAUGGCACGCCGUGAGCAGCUCUUUUCUGCCAGGGGGGUGCCCUGCCGCCCUGCCCUGGAGCCAGCGGCUGUGGCUGGGACCUCCGCACGCUGUGGACAACCCUCUCCUCACAUAACCCUGGUGUCUGUGCGCAUCGUGUCCCAGCACAGGAAAAGUGAUGGGGACGGUCAUGUGGGCUGCACGGGAGGCAGUGCCAGCACUUCGCACCCUGGGAGCCCAAAGUUCUAAGACCAACAGGUGCUCACAUUCAAAAUAACAUUUAAGCCUAAAACUGAACUUCCGACUUGCGAAUCAGCCCAAAGCUGUGUCCUGGGAGGACAGUGAGCGUCCCGGUGACCUGCCUGCCCCAGUGCGUAGCUCUGGAUCGAGUGAAGGAGUGGCUGUGUGUUGACAUUUGGGAAAAGGAAACUGAAAUAAAAGCAAAGCAAACUUUGAGGUUAUUUUCAGUAAAAACUUCAGAGCGGGCGUGAGCUACUGAUGACCAUCUAAAAAGUGGUUUAGGCCCCAGCCAGGUUUUCAUAGACAUGCACGCACUAGCUUAUUCUAACGUGUGGAAAAGAGAACCCCUCAGAAGAGCUCAAAGAGGGUUUAAGCAGCAGAAGCGGGGGGGCCAUGUACCUGCUUCUGAGGCAUUUUGUACUGUGGGUGUGGAAAUGAGAGGGCGGUACACAGGGCAAGGGAGAGCCACAGCGGCAGAGCGGACGGACAGCCCAGGGUCAUUGUGCUCACACCGGCCCCAGUCACUUGUUUCUUAGGGUCUGGGUUUGCCCCAGGACUGUACACCUUCAAGGCCAGCGCUGUGGUGCUGACCCCCGUGCCACCCCUGCUCAUUUUUGACGACGAUGGAAAAGCAACUUGGUGAGGGGGACGCAGCCGUCUCAGCAGCUGGAACCGGAGCAGCCAGGCAGCACCAAGACAGUGCCAGGUUUUGUCCAAGAGAAAGAGUUUCUUCAAACAGCCGGGUGUGGAGACAGAAGAGCCUCAGUCCUGUCACAGAGGACGGGGCUUAGGGACACUUGCAGGUGAGGAGCAGGGUGGUGCAGGGCAGGGGAGCGGAGGAGAGAGCCGCACAAUGGUCACCUCCGCAGCCUCUCAGAGGACACGUGUUCAGACAGCAGCAGCACUGAUGCGAGCAGAGGGGCGUCUUUGGUCCCCUGGUGUCAGAGAAGUCCCUGUGAGACGCCUGCACGGGCCCAGCCUCAGAGCCCACAGUUCCCACCAAAGCAGCCUCGUGUUGCGGAAGCCACCCUAUCGGCCUGCAUGCCCACGACCCACACGCUGGGCAGUUGCUCCCCGGCGGCAGGGGCAGGAGGCUGGAGACGUGGUGCUCGGCUUCCUGACCUGCAAAAUGCGUGAUGUUUAAAGUCACCGCAGAGCAAGUCACUGCACGCAAGUGUCCCUCAGCUUCAAGUCUGUACUUCUCGGUCUGCAGCCGGGACCCCUGCUCGUGGACAGAGAAGAAUUGCUGGGCAAGGCCUGACUGUCUGGCCCUCUUCAGGGAGCCUGCGGUCUUGGAGAUGCACAUGGCACCACCCAGCCUGGGCCUGUCGUGCUGGUGACCACACCUCCAGUAGGUGAACCGGGCUCCGUUGUCCUCUGG
ensembl:lincRNA